GCUGAAGUCCGACACUAAAUCGACUAAGCCCCGUAGGCACCCCAAAAAUCUUCUACUUUAAGGAGUCUAUCCUACUACAUUUCUGAUGGCUAAUCAUCCAGUGUUGGUUUAAAUUCUUACCUUACUCUUACUAGCUAUGACCCACCAUGGGUAUUCUUAAAAAAUGCAAAACAUUGGAAAGGCAUGAAAAAAAUGAGGAGUUGUAAGCACAGUAAAAAGUUUAGAAAACUUCAAUGGAGCUUUGCUUAUGUUAGAGAAAAGAGAAAAUCUUAGGCAAGUGUGAUAAAGAAAUGACAAGAAAGAUUUCCAGAUGGAAAUACUAC